rnacentral:tRNA from 1 species
UCCUAUGGUGUAAGGGGGCAGCACUCAGGACUUUGAAUCCUACAAGCUGAGUUCAAAUCUCUGUGGGA